AUUGAACGCUGGCGGCAUGCCUUACACAUGCAAGUCGAACGGUAACAGGUCUUCGGAUGCUGAUGAGUGGCGAACGGGUGAGUAAUACAUCGGAACGUGCCUAGUAGUGGGGGAUAACUACUCGAAAGAGUGGCUAAUACCGCAUGAGAUCUACGGAUGAAAGCAGGGGCUCGCACGACCUUGUGCUACUCGAGCGGCCGAUGGCAGAUUAGGUAGUUGGUGGGAUAAAAGCUUACCAAGCCGACGAUCUGUAGCUGGUCUGAGAGGACGAUCAGCCACACUGGGACUGAGACACGGCCCAGACUCCUACGGGAGGCAGCAGUGGGGAAUUUUGGACAAUGGGCGCAAGCCUGAUCCAGCAAUGCCGCGUGCAGGAUGAAGGCCUUCGGGUUGUAAACUGCUUUUGUACGGAACGAAAAGCCCUGGGUUAAUACCCUGGGGUCAUGACGGUACCGUAAGAAUAAGCACCGGCUAACUACGUGCCAGCAGCCGCGGUAAUAC
rnacentral:rRNA from 1 species